UACGAAGGGGGCUAGCGUUGCUCGGAAUCACUGGGCGUAAAGCGCACGUAGGCGGAUUGUUAAGUCAGGGGUGAAAUCCUGGAGCUCAACUCCAGAACUGCCUUUGAUACUGGCGAUCUCGAGUCCGGGAGAGGUGAGUGGAACUGCGAGUGUAGAGGUGAAAUUCGUAGAUAUUCGCAAGAACACCAGUGGCGAAGGCGCUCACUGGCCCGGUACUGACGCUGAGGUGCGAAAGCGUGGGGAGCAAACAGGG
rnacentral:rRNA from 1 species